rnacentral:rRNA from 1 species
AUUGAACGCUGGCGGCAUGCUUUACACAUGCAAGUCGAACGGUAACAGGGUGCUUGCACCGCUGACGAGUGGCGAACGGGUGAGUAAUGCGUCGGAACGUGCCGAGUAGUGGGGGAUAACGCAGCGAAAGUUGUGCUAAUACCGCAUACGUACUGAGGUAGAAAGUGGGGGACCUUCGGGCCUCACCCUAUUCGAGCGGCCGACGUCUGAUUAGCUAGUAGGUGAGGUAAAGGCUCACCUAGGCGACGAUCAGUAGCGGGUCCGAGAGGAUGAUCCGCCACACUGGGACUGAGACACGGCCCAGACUCCUACGGGAGGCAGCAGUGGGGAAUUUUGGACAAUGGGCGAAAGCCUGAUCCAGCCAUGCCGCGUGUCUGAAGAAGGCCUUCGGGUUGUAAAGGACUUUUGUCAGGGAGGAAAUCCCUAGUGCUAAUAACACUGGGGGAUGACAGUACCUGAAGAACAAGCACCGGCUAACUACGUGCCAGCCGCCGCAGAAA